rnacentral:piRNA from 1 species
UGAAAAUAUUGUUCUGUUUCA